rnacentral:rRNA from 1 species
CUAAGAAUAUUCCGCAAUGGACGGAAGUCUGACGGAGCGACGCCGCGUGGAUGACGAAGGCCGAAAGGUUGUAAAGUUCUUUUGCUGGGGAAGAAUAACCGCAGGAGGGAAUGCCUGUGGGAUGACAAGAACCGGCGAAUAAGCCCCGGCCAACUACGUGCCAGCAGCCGCGGUAACACGUAGGGGGCGAGCGUUGUUCGGAAUUACUGGGCGUAAAGGGCAUGUAGGCGGCUUGGAAAGCCUGGCGUGAAAGUCUGCAGCUUAACUGCAGGGGUGCGCUGGGAACUGCUGAGCUUGAGUGACGGAGAGGGAGCUGGAAUUCCUGGUGUAGGGGGUGAAAUCUGUAGAUAUCAGGAAGAACACCGAUGGCGGAGGCAAGCUCCUGGCCGAUGACUGACGCUGAGGUGCGAAAGUGUGGGGAUCAAACAGGAUUAGAUACCCUGGUAGUCCACACAGUCAACGAUGUGCACUAGGUGCUGGGGCGGUAGCUUCGGUGCCGGAGCGAACGUGGUAAGUGCACCGCCUGGGGCAGUAUGCUCGCAAGGGUGAAACUCAAGGAAGUUGACGGGGGUC